rnacentral:lncRNA from 1 species
UGAGCCAUAUCCUUUUAAAUAUUUUAUUUACAGACAGAGCCUUGCUAAAUUGCUGAGGCUGACUUUGAACUCGUGAUCCUCCUGCCUCAGCCUCCUGAGCUGCUGGGAUUACAGGUGUGUGCCACCAUGCCCUGCUUAGUGUGUUCUCUUCAAAAAUGCAAGUGACAUGGGACUCCUACUUCAUCAUUGUCGACUCGGUGUGUAUACUGUCAGAUAUACAUUAAAAUACCCAAAACAUUAGGCUCAGCUGCACCCAUCUCCACAACUGGAAUGUACUGUAAUAAGCCAUCUUU